CUGCACGUCCGCCUUGAAUUCCAUCUCCUGCGGGCGGCACAAGGCGCUCGGUGUCGGCGGGGCGCGCGGGACGGGGCCUUUGGGCCGAGCCCUGCUCCCGCGGGACGCCCGUCCGGCAGCUUCUGGAAAGGCGCGCUGAAGGAGCCCGAAGGAGCAGGGGGCGCGCAGAACGCAGCCACAGCUCCACCCGGUUGUUGGAGCCCGCGCACAGCGAGGAGCCGGUGGACACGCGGAUGUGGUAGAGACCCAUCCUGCCUGACGACGAACGCGCCCUCUGAGGAGGAAGGAGAGUGGAUGCGCUAAUAACGGGCGCGACCCCGCCCCCGGGAGGCCCAGCGGUCAGAGGGUUUUCAGAGAAGUCCUCCCUGGCGGCUCCAGCCCUCCCCGCCUUCCCCUCUGUACUGGGUUUGCCCUGUGCAUGGUCCUGUCGCCCCUCACUGACUAAGAUGGCAAUUCCUGUGUGUCCACGUCCCCUUCCCGCCGAGCUCCCCCGAGGCAAGGGCCACACUCCCAGCAGGACCAACCCAGGUUUGUUCCCCGGGAUUGAGCACCGUAUCAGGCUUGUGGGUGUCAAGAAGUGUUUGCUGAAACCCAUUGAACCCCAAGAUCCAUUAUACAUGAGUCCUGCCCUGGUGGGGGUGGCAGGACAAACUCCCGGACUGCGUGAACAGUAAAGGGAGAGUAAGACUGACUCCCACUCCGCUCCCAGCCGGGCCAGCGGCCAGGGGCCUGCAACCUGCCCCGGUAGAAGGAACCCAGAGAACUGGGUCUGUAAUGUCAGUGCUCUUGUUUGUUUAGUGGGAGUGGAUUUACAGGAGCCAAGGGGCAAAAGGGAGAGAGACUUCAUUCACUGGCGUCUCCCGCUGGGCUAGGCACCAUUGAGUUUCCCCACCUCAGUCACUCGCCCAUAUUUCCAAGGUCCAUUCAAAAGCAAAUACAUGUCUGUCCUUUUGUCCUUUUUCUGGCAGCGUGUGUGACCUGUCAUUCAGCGGCUCGAUUUUGCCACACUGCAUCAUAAAUCAGGAGAUCCUUCUGCAUCAGGACUUGAAAAGCUUCCUUGAUCUUUUUUUUUUUUAAGAUUUAUUUAUUUAUUUGACAGAGAUUGCAAGUAGGCAGAGAGGCAGGGAGAGAGAGGAGGAAGCAGACUCCCUGCUGAGCAGAGAGCCCGAUGUGGGGGCUUGAUCCCAGGACCCUGGGAUCAUGACCCGAGCCGAAGGCAGAAGCUUUAACCCCCUGAGCGAUCCAGGUGCCCCAGCUUCCUUGUUCUUAAGGGUGCCGCCACACUGGGUUGUAAAGGGCAGUCUGCCUGGUUUUGUAGAAGCUGGACAUUUAGUUUGCUUGCGAUCUUGUCUCAGUGUUUAAAAAAAAAAAAAAAAGGUGUUUUUUCUGGACACCUACCUUCAGCUCAGGUCAUGAUCCCAGGGUCAUGGGUUCAAGCCUUGCAUCCCUGCUCCGCGGGGAGUCUGCUUCUCCCUCUCCCCCUCCUUCCACUCAUAGGCAUUCUCUCUCAAAUAAAUAAAUAAAUAAAUAUCUUUUUUUUUUUUUUAAGUGUUUGCUGAAAGAGAUUACCGGGCAUAUACAUCAUUUCUCAAAUGCAGAGAUACAUGGAGUACCAAAUCCCAGAAACGGAAUUUCUGAGUCACAAGCCUGUGUGCAUCUGGCGAAUGUAGAGCUCUGUCCCCCCACCACCAACCCGUGGAACUUGUACCAAUUUACACUCGCAUUGGCGAGCCCACUGGUGUGUGAGAGUGCUCCCUCUGCCGCCCUCUUGCCCACAGCGUGUGGACAAGCACUUUUCCCUGGCCAGCCUGACAGGUGAGGAACCCGACGUUCCUAUCCUAUGGCUGUAACUUCUGUUUCUCUCACUCUCUGUAAGGAUGAGCAUCUCCUGCUGUAGAAGCUGUCCGUAUGUCCUCUGCCGGGCACUAGCUGCUCCACUUUUCUAUUGGAUUUGGGUCUUUUUCUUCUUGAUUUGUAGGAACUAUUUAUAUGUUAAGAAAAUUUGCCCCUUUCCAGCUCUGUCCUGAUGAAAAGGGUCCCAAUAGCAACAAUGGUUGUUCCCUUUACUAUACCAAGUCCUUGGAGCCCAGAUUGUGGUCCACAAUGUUAUUCUCCAUGAAAACCUGAGCUCUAGGGGUGCCUGAGGGGCUCAGGCGGUUGAGCACCUCCCUUCAGCUCGGGUCAUGAUCUCAGGGUCCUGGGAUUGAGCCCCGCAUCGGGCUCCCUGCUCAGCGGGGAAACUGCUUCUCCCUCUGCCUCUCCCUGUGGCUCCCCCUGCUUGUGCGCUCUCUCUCUCUCUCUCUCUCUCUCUCUCCGUUAGCUAAAUAAAUAAGAUCUUUAAAAGAAAAGAAAAUCUGGGCUCUUUAAGGGGUACUUGGAACAGGUAAAACUCAGGA